CUUGAUAUGUAAGGAAGUAUGGUAUGUCCGAGGGAUGAAAGAAGAUCGGCAUGACUGGAGCAUGGUGAAUGAAGAGGAAAGGAGGGUCCCCACUCCUCAAAGCAAAGGGAAGAAAAGUCAGCAUGGAACAGGACCGAGACAGAAAUAGGCAGUAGGAAAAAUCUGGAGGAGGAAGUUUGUACCAGCUGAUGGAGAUGGGAAGAAGAGAGGUCCGGCAAUUGGGAAAAGCAGGCCCUGCACCUUGCC
rnacentral:lncRNA from 1 species